CGGAGGAUGCAAGCGUUAUCCGGAAUGAUUUGGGCGUAAAGCGUCUGUAGGUGGAUUGUAAAGUCUUCUGUUAAAGAUCGGGGCUUAACCCAGUUCAAGCAGUAGAAACUUAUAAUCUAGAGUACGGUAGGGGCAGAGGGAAUUCCCGGUGUAGCGGUGAAAUGCGUAGAUAUCGGGAAGAACACCGACAGCGAAAGCACUCUGCUGGGCCGAAACUGACACUGAGAGACGAAAGCUAGGGGAGCAAAAGGGGAUU
rnacentral:rRNA from 1 species